rnacentral:lncRNA from 1 species
GAAGCUUCCCUCAGGAAGUGACAUGUAAGGUGGAACAUGAUGAAUAAGGAGGGUUCAGGAGAAGUUUCCCUCAGGAAGUGACAUGUAAGGUGGAACAUGAUGAAUAAGGAGGGUUCAGGAGAAGCUUCCCUCAGGAAGUGACGUUUAAGGUGGAACAUGAUGAAUAAGGAGGGUUCAGGAGAAGCUUCCCUCAGGAAGUGACAUGUAAGGUGGAACAUGAUGAAUAAGGAGGGUUCAGGAGAAGCUUUCCUCAGGAAGUGACAUUUAAGGUGGAACAUGAUGAAUAAGGAGGGUUCAGGAGAAGCUUCCCUCAGGAAGUGACAUGUAAGGUGGAACAUGAUGAAUAAGGAGGGUUCAGGAGAAGCUUCCCUCAGGAAGUGACAUGUAAGAUGGAACAUGAUGAAUAAGAUGUAAGGUGGAACAUGAUGAAUAAGGAGGGUUCAGGAGAAGCUUCCCUCAGGAAGUGACAUGUAAGGUGGAACAUGAUGAAUAAGGAGGGCUCAGGAGAAGCUUCCCUCAGGAAGUGACAUGUAAGAUGGAACAUGACGAAUAAGAUGUAAGGUGGAACAUGAUGAAUAAGGAGGGUUCAGGACACGCUUCCCUCAGGAAGUGACAUGUAAGGUGGAACAUGAUGAAUAAGGAGGGCUCAGGAGAAGCUUCCCUCAGGGAGUGACAUGUAAGAUGGAACAUGA